rnacentral:piRNA from 1 species
GAGGAGGUCGACGAGCUGCAGACGACAAA